rnacentral:rRNA from 1 species
GACGAACGCUGGCGGCGUGCUUAACACAUGCAAGUCGAGCGGCGCGGCGAACGGGUGAGUAACGCGUGAGUAACUGCCCCCCUCUCUGGGUUAACAGUUGGAAACGGCUGCUCAUACCGGAUAGUGGGGGAUGGCUCGCGUCCUAUGAGCUUGUUGGUGGGGUAGUGGCCGACCAAGGGGCAGGCGGGUAGCCGGCCUGAGCGGGGGACCGGCCACAUGGGGCUGAGAUACGGACCAAACUGCUACGGGAGGCAGCAGUGGGGAAUAUGGCACAAUGGGGGAAACCCUGAGGCAGCAACGCCGGGUGCGGGAUGACGGCCUUCGGGUUGUAAACCGCUUUCAGCCAUGACGCGGUAGUGGAAGAAGAAGCACCGGCUAACUACGUGCCAGCCGCCGCGGUAAUAC